rnacentral:rRNA from 1 species
GAUGAACGCUGGCGGCGUGCCUAAUACAUGCAAGUCGAGCGACAAGACAAGGAGCUUGCUCCCCUGACGUUAGCGGCGGGCGGGUGGGUAACAAGUGGAUCACAUACUUCUAUUUCGGGGGUAAUAACGGAGAAACACUGACACUAACAGAGAAUAUAUCGUACCGCUUAAAUCAGUAGUGCAAGGCGGCUUUCGCGUUACAUUGAGACGGUGUCGGAUUAGCUAGUUGGGGUGGUAAUGGCACACCAAGGCAACGAUACGUAGCGGGUCUGAGAGGAUGAUCGGCCACACUGGAACUGAGACACGGUCCAGACUCCUACGGGAGGCAGCAGUGGGGAAUAUUGCGCAAUGGGCGAAAGCCUGACCGAGCAACGCCGCGUGAGUGAUGAAGGUCUUCGGAUUGUAAAACUCUUUUAUUAGGAAAGAACAACUGUAGAAGUAACCCUGCACGUUUUGACGGUACCUAAAGAGAAAGCCACGGCUAACUUCGUG